UAUACGUCAUUCAAAUGUUCAUUACAUGACGAACAGGAAUAUAUAUGGUUUAGGGGUGGGGAUCUCAACCAUUUACAAGAUAUUAGAACAUUGGGGGUGGGGGGAACCCCUGGGGACUGACCGUAUACGUCAUUCAAAUGUUCGAGACAUGACAAAUAGGAAUAUAUAUGGUUUAGGGGUGGGGAUCUCAACCAUUUACAAGAUAUUGAAACUUUCUCAAAUGGCAGGGGGUUGGGAUGACCCCUGGGGACUAACCCUGUAUUUCAUUUGAUGUGCUUUAUCAUGACAAACCAGAAUAUAUAUAUGGUUUAAGGUUGGGGAUCUCGACCAUUUACAAGAUAUUAGAACUUUCUCAAAUGGCAGGGGGUCGGGAUGACCCCUGGGGACUAACCCUGUAUAUCAUUCAAACCAUCUUAGCAUGACAAACCAGAAUAUAUAUGGUUUAGGGGUGGGGAUCUUGACCACUUACAAGAUAUUAAAACUUUCUUAAAUGGCAGGGGGUGGGGGUGACCCCUGGGGACUAACCCUGUAUUUCAUUUGAUGUGCUUUAUCAUGACAAACCAGAAUAUAUAUGGUUUAGGGGUGGGGAUCUCGACCAUUUACAAGAUAUUAGAACUUUCUCAAAUGGCAGGGGGUCGGGAUGACCCCUGGGGACUAACCCUGUAUAUCAUUCAAACCAUCUUAGCAUGACAAACCAGAAUAUAUAUGGUUUAGGGGUGGGGAUCUUGACCACUUAGAAGAUAUUAGAACUUUCUUAAAUGGCAGGGGGUGGGGAUGACCCCUGGGGACUAACCCUGUAUUACAUUUGAUGUGCUUUAUCAUGACAAACCAGAAUAUAUAUGGUUUAGGGGUGGGGAUCUCGACCAUUUACAAGAUAUAAGAACUUUCUCAAAUGGCAGGGGGUCGGGAUGACCCCUGGGGACUAACCCUGUAUGUCAUUCAAACCAUCUUAGCAUGACAAACCAGAAUAUAUAUGGUUUAGGGGUGGGGAUCUUUACCACUUACAAGGUAUUAGAACUUUCUUAAAUGGCAGGGGGUGGGGGUGACCCCUGGGGACUAACCCUGUAUUUCAUUUAAUGGGCUUUAUCAUUUAGAACAUUUUCAAUUAAAAAGAUUGUGUCUAUCACAAACGGUUUUCAAUUUAUAAUCAUUUGAAAAUUUAAAAAAAUAAAAUCCCAUAGGGUUCUAUAGUAAAACCCUCUUUUCUUUUUGCCCCUCAAAGUACCCCUUUAUAAACCCCAUUGCACAAACAAAACCCUGAUUGCACCACUAGACAUGUUAGUCUAACAUAUUGUGAAACCCUAAGUUAAUCUGACAAGCGGUUUUGGAGAACGGGUGCGGACAAGUUCAAAUUUAAAAGCGGCGGAAGAAGAAGAAGAAGAAGAAGAAGAAGAAUAAUAAUAAUAAUAAGAACUGAGCAAAAACAAUAAGUCUUCCCAAACUUCGUUUGGGAGACUUAAUAAAGUAAU